rnacentral:rRNA from 1 species
UACGAAGGGGGCUAGCGUUGCUCGGAAUCACUGGGCGUAAAGGGUGCGUAGGCGGGUCUUUAAGUCAGGGGUGAAAUCCUGGAGCUCAACUCCAGAACUGCCUUUGAUACUGAAGAUCUUGAGUUCGGGAGAGGUGAGUGGAACUGCGAGUGUAGAGGUGAAAUUCGUAGAUAUUCGCAAGAACACCAGUGGCGAAGGCGGCUCACUGGUCCGGUACUGACGCUGAGGUGCGAAAGCGUGGGGAGCAAACGGG